GAUGAACGCUGGCGGCGCGCCUAACACAUGCCAGUCGAACGAUUAAAGCACCUUCGGGUGUGUAUAAAGUGGCGAACGGCUGAGUAACACGUGGGCAACCUGCCCCUUUCAUUGGGAUAGCCACGGGAAACCGUGGAUAAUACCGAAUACUUCGAGACUUCCGCAUGGAAGACUCGAGAAAGCUCCGGCGGAGAGGGAUGGGCCCGCGGCCUGUUAGCUUGUUGGUGGGGUAACGGCCUACCAAGGCAAUGAUGGGUAGCUGGGUUGAGAGACCGACCAGCCAGAUUGGGACUGAGACACGGCCCAGACUCCUACGGGAGGCAGCAGUGGGGAAUCUUGCACAAUGGGCGAAAGCCUGAUGCAGCGACGCCGCGUGCGGGAUGAAGGCCUUCGGGUUGUAAACCGCUUUCAGCAGGGACGAGGCGAAAGUGACGGUACCUUCAGAAGAAGCCCCGGCUAACUACGUG
rnacentral:rRNA from 1 species